AUGGUGCUGUGAAGGGAGUAAGUAGGGGUCAGUAGGGCAGCCUCAGCUCUUCGGGAGCUGAGGAAACCUUGGUUUACAGAGACCCAACGAAAUCAAGGGUACUGCCUGAUUCCAAACUAAGGCCUACUCAGUGAAUGGAUACCACACGUCAGGGACCCCGGCACACCCUCCCGAGACAGCCCACAUGAGUGUCCGAAAAUCCACUGGCGAUUCCCAGAACCUGGGAUCCUCGUCACCAGGCAAAAAGCAGAGCAAG